AACGAACGCUGGCGGCAGGCUUAACACAUGCAAGUCGAGCGCCCCGCAAGGGGAGCGGCAGACGGGUGAGUAACGCGUGGGAAUCUACCCAUCUCUACGGAAUAACGCAUGGAAACGUGUGCUAAUACCGUAUACGUCCCUCGGGAGAAAGAUUUAUCGGAGAUGGAUGAGCCCGCCUUGGAUUAGCUAGUUGGUGGGGUAAAGGCCUACCAAGGCGACGAUCCAUAGCUGGUCUGAGAGGAUGAACAGCCACACUGGGACUGAGACACGGCCCAGACUCCUACGGGAGGCAGCAGUGGGGAAUAUUGGACAAUGGGCGCAAGCCUGAUCCAGCCAUGCCGCGUGAGUGAUGAAGGCCCUAGGGUUGUAAAGCUCUUUCACCGGUGAAGAUAAUGACGGAAACCGGAGAAGAAGCCCCGGCUAACUUCGUGCCAGCAGCCGCCGUAACAC
rnacentral:rRNA from 1 species